AUUCAGUUGACGAGUCCCAAAUAAAACGAAACGCGCGUCCUGGAU
rnacentral:hammerhead_ribozyme from 1 species